rnacentral:rRNA from 1 species
CACGUAGUUGGCCGGUGCUUCUUCUGCAGGUACCGUCACUUCCGCUUCGUCCCUGCUGAAAGAGGUUUACAACCCGAAGGCCGUCAUCCCCCACGCGGCGUCGCUGCGUCAGGCUUCCGCCCAUUGCGCAAUAUUCCCCACUGCUGCCUCCCGUAGGAGUCUGGGCCGUGUCUCAGUCCCAGUGUGGCCGGUCACCCUCUCAGGCCGGCUACCCGUCGUCGCCUUGGUAGGCCACUACCCCACCAACAAGCUGAUAGGCCGCGGGCCCAUCCCCAGCCGAUAAAUCUUUCCACCACCAGACCAUGCGGUCAGCGGUCAUAUCCGGUAUUAGCCCCAAUUUCUUGGAGUUAUCCCAGAGCUGAGGGCAGGUUGCCCACGUGUUACUCACCCGUUCGCCGCUAGAACACCCUCCCGAAGAAGGGGUCUCGCUCGACUUGCAUGUGUUAAGCACGCCGCCAGCGUUCGUCCUGAGCCAGGAUCAAACUCU